rnacentral:lncRNA from 1 species
UGUGAGUUCUUUUUUCUUGACUUCCUCUUGAGUACGCUGGCAUUCAAAGAUUGCAGAGUCAGGAUGGAGUCUACGAUUAUAUUCUUCUUAAAAGGACAACUUCUAGUAACUCGAUGAAGGUACGUACAAGCCAAAACAGGAGCCAAGGUAACGGGAAAAAAUUUAGGCAAAGUCCUCUGCUUCCCAUAUUUCAUCAGCAGACCCAUGCUUUGAAUAGGUUGUUGCUUGAGAUUUUAUUCCAUAUUAAGAUUUGAAAAUCUAAAACUAUAAAAAAACAAUUAUAAAUUAUAAAGUUGAUUUGGGGUUCCGAUUUUUGCUUUAAGUUUUAGGUUUGAAUUGUUAGCAUGGGCGUUUAGUUCAGCAGGUUUCACACUGACUAUCGGUUCUUCUCAUUAAUUAAACUAAAAUAACAAUCACAAUCCAAACUGACACGUACAAAGAAAAUCAACCGUAUUGAGCAAAAAAAAGAAGAGAUCAAGGUAACACACGAAGAAAGUGAUCGUACUUGGUGAAACUCUACAAGCAGGUCGUUAGCAGUGAGAUAACGCUCAACAGAUAAUGCUGCCAUACAGCCUGAUCCGGCAGCUGUGACAGCUUGCCUCCACUCAUGAUCCUGAAACAAUCAGCUCGGUAGAAGGCUUCUUAAUACUCAUCAACAUCAGACUAAUUACAGAUUCACAAUGUGACUGGCAUUUAAUCACUUUCAUGCUACAUUGGACGUCUUUUUGGCAGAUAGACUAAAUAACAACGACGAGCAACAUGGAAAACGCAAAGCAAUGUAGAGCAUCAAAUUGAACGAACGCAAGAAACUAACGACCAGUCAAGUACCUGAAGAUCUCCAGCGGCAUAAACUCCUUCGACCGAUGUAUUGGUCGUUCC